ACUGGCAGAUGAUGAAAUAAUAAUAUCAGUUUUAUGCUUAACACUCUGAUUAAACUGUGGUGACUACAAACUCUGCUUAUUAUCUGAUGCCAGA
rfam:Helianthus annuus linkage group 14, whole genome shotgun sequence.